rnacentral:rRNA from 1 species
AUUGAACGCUGGCGGCAGGCCUAACACAUGCAAGUCGAACGGUAACAGGAAGAAGCUUGCUUCUUUGCUGACGAGUGGCGGACGGGUGAGUAAUGUCUGGGAAACUGCCUGAUGGAGGGGGAUAACUACUGGAAACGGUAGCUAAUACCGCAUAACGUCGCAAGACCAAAAAGGGGGACCUUCGGGCCUCUUGCCAUCGGAUGUGCCCAGAUGGGAUUGGCUAGUAGGUGGGGUAACGGCUCACCUAGGCGACGAUCCCUAGCUGGUCUGAGAGGGUGACCAGCCACACUGGAACUGAGACACGGUCCAGACUCCUACGGGAGGCAGCAGUGGGGAAUAUUGCACAAUGGGCGCAAGCCUGAUGCAGCCAUGCCGCGUGUAUGAAGAAGGCCUUCGGGUUGUAAAGUACUUUCAGCGGGGAGGAAGGGAGUAAAGUUAAUACCUUUGCUCAUUGACGUUACCCGCAGAAGAAGCACCGGCUAACUCCGUG